rnacentral:rRNA from 1 species
CACGUUAUGGGUGGGCACUCUAAGGAGACUGCCGGUGAACAAACCGGAGGAAGGGUGGGGAUGACGUCAAGUCAUCAUCGGCCCUUACGGCCUGGGCUACACACGUGCUACAAUGGUCGGUACAAAGGGUUGCCAAGCCGCGAGGUGGAGCUAAUCCCAUAAAACCGAUCGUAGUCCGGAUCGCAGUCUGCAACUCGACUGCGUGAAGUCGGAAUCGCUAGUAAUCGUGAAUCAGAAUGUCACGGUGAAUACGUUCCCGGGCCUU